GUCCAGGGAUGGGAACCGAACCCACAAUGUUACGCUUACCGGGCAGAUGCCAUGUCCACUAGGCUACCCUGGA
rnacentral:tRNA from 1 species